UACGAAGGGGGCUAGCGUUGCUCGGAAUCACUGGGCGUAAAGCGCACGUAGGCGGAUCGCUAAGUCAGGGGUGAAAUCCUGGAGCUCAACUCCAGAACUGCCUUUGAUACUGGCAAUCUCGAGUCCGGGAGAGGUGAGUGGAACUGCGAGUGUAGAGGUGAAAUUCGUAGAUAUUCGCAAGAACACCAGUGGCGAAGGCGGCUCACUGGCCCGGUACUGACGCUGAGGCACGAAAGCGUGGGGAGCAAACAGG
rnacentral:rRNA from 1 species